rnacentral:rRNA from 1 species
CCUACGGGUGGCUGCAGUGGGGAAUUUUGGACAAUGGGGGCAACCCUGAUCCAGCCAUGCCGCGUGAGUGAAGAAGGCCUUCGGGUUGUAAAGCUCUUUCGGCCGGGAAGAAAUCGCUCAAGCUAAUACCUUGGGUGGAUGACGGUACCGGGAGAAGAAGCACCGGCUCACUACGUGCCAGCAGCCGCGGUAAUACGUAGGGUGCGUGCGUUAAUCGGAAUUACUGGGGGUGAAGCGUGCAGAGGGGGCGGAAAUCCCAGGGCUUAACCUGUGAACUGCGGUUGUGACUGUGGUGCUCGAGUGCGGCAGAGGGAGGUGGAAUUCCACGUGUAGCAGUGAAAUGCGUAGAGAUGUGGAGGAACACCGAUGGCGAAGGCAGCCCCCUGGGUCGACACUGACGCUCAUGCACGAAAGCGUGGGGAGCAAACAGGAUUAGAUACCCCAGUAGUC